CAAGUCCCCCUCCCUCGUCAGCCCAAAGAGCAAUCAGGGUUCCCUGCCCUGUGGGAAGUCCAAGGACCACCCACCUCCAUCCAGGUCUAGUAAGGUGAGCAUCCAAACUGCCUAGGCUCCCACAAAGCCAGUACGUACAGUAGAAUCAAAAACCCAUUGUCAUUGUUCUUGAG